AACCUACCUUCCAGAGGGGGACGAAAGUUGGAAACGACUGCUAAUACCGCAUACGAUCUAACCUCGGCAUCGAGGAUGGAUGAAAGGUGGCCUCUAUUUAUAAGCUAUCACUGAAGGAGGGGAUUGCGUCUGAUUAGCUAGUUGGAGGGGUAACGGCCCACCAAGGCGAUGAUCAGUAGCCGGUCUGAGAGGAUGAACGGCCACAUUGGGACUGAGACACGGCCCAG
rnacentral:rRNA from 1 species